UUUGUGCCCCAGCCACAAAAUGGAGGACGGCGACGGUGCAAGCAGCAGCCGCAGCAGCCGCGGCAGCCUCCGCCUCCUCCUUCUCCUCCUCUUCCCCCCUCCCUCCCCUAGACCAAGGAAAGAGAGCAGAGACGCGGCAGAGCGGGGAGCCCGCGCAGGAAAGGCGGGCGCGCGCAUUGCGGGGCAGCCGAGGGGGAACGGUGCAACCUGUUGACUGAGAACAGCAACUGCACCCCCCGGCAGGGCCUCCUCCUCCUCGUCCUCCCCCCCCCCAUCUUCUCCAAACGUGCCCCUUUCCGCUAACACUUUCUUUUUUCUUCUUCCCUACCUUACUUUCUUUUAUUAUUAUUAUUUUUUCGGUUUUGUUAUCUUGCCCGCUGCAGCCUUACGGUUUUUUAAAUUAUUUUUUGGGUUUGGUUUUUAUAAAGCAGCGUGUUGAUUUAGAAGUCGAACCCGCUGCGUUUUUAAAAGGUCUGGGCUGUUCAAAGGAGGGGGUGAAAACGAGCGAACGAGGGGACGACGAAAAACAGGCAACAAACAAACCUUCAGAGAGGAUUGAAGGGCCAGCGCUGACGCGUUAAGCCGAAGUGACAGGAAAGGAUUUCGGUAUUUCCUAGAAAAUAACACUUUUUAGAACUGUAAAUUCAGGGUGCCAUCUUAUAUAUGCGUUAUUAGAAAAAAAACCAAAUCUACUUAAACAGGUGAGAUUUUGGAGGGGGGGGGGAAAUGUAUAUAAAUUGUAUGCUAUACAGACAAUUGUUGGCUAUUAAAUGACUAUUAGAGGAGCAGGCCUCUCCAUUACAUGUCUCAUUUUAAAACAGUUUUCAAUAUUAUAUAUCAACAAAAAAACAACAACCAAGUUCUGCAUUAGCUAGUGGCUUAUACAGCUCACUUGUAGGAUAUAUGGGUCCAAUGAAAACAGACUGGAGAAAGACAUAUAUGAAUUUCUGUGCAUAUAAUUAUCAAUUUGAUAUCUACCUUAUGCAUAUUUUUUCAUGUGUCCGUAUGCAGACACAUUUCUAGAAAUGUAUGUAUGUAUAUAUGCAUGUAUGCAUGUUUGAUUCAAUUAAAUUUUAUUUAAUUCAAUUUAAGGUACAUAAGAGUUACGAAAACACAGACAGCACUGUUUUGAACCUAGAAUGGCUUCCUCAGAUGUCCCAAGUUUGAAAAGACAGUAGUGAUCUGGAAGUUUAAUUUAAGUUAGCAUUAAAUAGUUCUGUUCUGUGUGUAAAAUAAAGCUUGGCUGCUUUGAAUGAAUCCAUGCUUGAAUUUUACCUUUGUAGUUUGGGAUUGGAUUUUUUUUUUUAAAUAGAAAAAACAGUCUAACCAGUGCAAUAGCAGGAAUUGACAAUACCAUGCUGUUUGUAGGUUAGAUUAGAUAGGGUUAGAUAGGAUCAGUGCCAGAAUGCAGGGAGAAAGAUGUAGUUUCUAAGCACUAGGGGAAAGAUUGAAAGAUCCAUGUUCAUCACCCGCUUCUACUUUUGUACAGUUUGAAGACUACUUGCAAUUGCCUGCUUACCUGGAAAAAGAAAAUGGAAGAAUUGCCUGAAGAUGAUCUAGCUGAGCCUGUACAUAUGGAUCCUGCUCUUUGCUGAAUGAGAUUUGAUCAGAUAAGGAAAGAAGCUUCCUUCCAGUCCCAACAGUUUCCUAGAGUGAACCAAAUACCAAAAAAAAGAGGGAGGAAAUUUCCAGUUGCAGAAUAGAGAUGGAAUGAGUAUUGUAAAGUAGGGAAUAUUCUGGUUUAUAGGAUAAACCAUCCACCAGCUUAUUCUGCAAGCUAAGAAUGCAAGAAAUGCAAGUUAAAAUGAUGAAAAGAAUGUCUGAGUGUAAAUUUGUGAGAAGCCUGUUCCAAAUUGUGGUCAGUUUGGAUUUCCUUUGAGGAGAUGGCACCUUUGCUAAAAGACUUCUUUAAUGGCCAAAAAUAUCCUAGUAACUUUCAUGUAAAUGAA